rnacentral:rRNA from 1 species
AUAUUAAUAAGCGGUGGAAAAGAAACUAACUAGGAUUCCCUCAGUAACUGCGAGUGAAGUGGGAAAAGCUCAAGCUUAAAAUCUGAGGUCAUCUAGAUCUCCGAAUUGUAGUUUCGUGAACAGCUUCACGGACAGACUGCUGCAGUAUAAGUUCCCAGGAACGGGACGCCAAGAAGGAU